GAUGAACGCUGGCGGCGUGCCUAAUACAUGCAAGUCGAGCGAACAGACGAGGAGCUUGCUCCUCUGACGUUAGCGGCGGACGGGUGAGUAACACGUGGAUAACCUACCUAUAAGACUGGGAUAACUUCGGGAAACCGGAGCUAAUACCGGAUAAUAUAUUGAACCGCAUGGUUCAAUAGUGAAAGACGGUUUUGCUGUCACUUAUAGAUGGAUCCGCGCCGCAUCAGCUAGUUGGUAAGGUAACGGCUUACAAAGGCCACGAAGCGUAGCCGACCUGAGAGGGUGAUCGGCAACACUAGAACUGAGACACGGUCCAGACUCCAAAGGGAGGCAGCAGAAGGGACUCUUCCACAAAGAGCGAAAGCCUGACGGAGCAACGCCGCGUGAGUGAUGAAGGUCUUCGGAUCGUAAAACUCUGUUAUUAGGGAAGAACAAAUGUGUAAGUAACUAUGCACGUCUUGACGGUACCUAAACAGAAAGCCACGGCUAACUACGUG
rnacentral:rRNA from 1 species